AUUGAACGCUGGCGGCAGGCCUAACACAUGCAAGUCGAGCGGAGCGGCGGACGGGUGAGUAAGGCCUAGGAAUCUGCCUGGGAGUGGGGGAUAACGUCCGGAAACGGGCGCUAAUACCGCAUACUAUCAGAUUAGCCUAGGUCGGAUUAGCUAGUUGGUGGGGUAAAGGCCCACCAAGGCGACGACCCGUAACUGGUAUGAGAGGAUGGUCAGUCACACUGGAACGGAGACACGGUCCAGACUCCUACGGGAGGCAGCAGUGGGGAAUAUUGGAGAAGGGGCGAAAGCCUGAUGCAGCCAUGCAGCGUGUGUGAAGAAGGUCUUCGGAUUGUAAAGCACUUUAAGUUGGGAGGCGUUACCAACAGAAUAAGCACCGGCUAACUUCGUGCCAGCCGCCGCGGUAAUUC
rnacentral:rRNA from 1 species